UACAGGGGGUGCAAACGUUGCUCGGAAUCAUUGGGCGUAAAGCGCACGUAGGCGGUCUGUUAUGUCGGAUGUGAAAGCCCCCGGCUCAACUGGGGAGGGUCACCGGUAACGGCCGAGCUACGAGUGCAGGAGAGGGAAGUGGAACUCCGGGAGUAGCGGUGAAAUGCGUAGAGACCCGGAGGAACACCAGUGGCGAAGGCGGCUUCCUGGUCUGCAACUGACGCUGUGGCGCGAAAGCUAGGGGAGCAAACGGG
rnacentral:rRNA from 1 species